GAUGAACGCUGGCGGCGUGCCUAAUACAUGCAAGUCGAGCGAAUGGAUUAAGAGCUUGCUCUUAUGAAGUUAGUGGCGGACGGGUGAGUAACACGUGGGUAACCUGCCCAUAAGACUGGGAUAACUCCGGGAAACCGGGGCUAAUACCGGAUAACAUUUUGAACCGCAUGGUUCGAAAUUGAAAGGCGGCUUCGGCUGUCACUUAUGGAUGGACCCGCGUCGCAUUAGCUAGUUGGUGAGGUAACGGCUCACCAAGGCAACGAUGCGUAGCCGACCUGGGAGGGUGAUCGGCCACACUGGGACUGAGACACGGCCCAGACUCCUCCGGGAGGCAGCAGUAGGGAAUCUUCCGCAAUGGACGAAAGUCUGACGGAGCAACGCCGCGUGAGUGAUGAAGGCUUUCGGGUCGUAAAACUCUGUUGUUAGGGAAGAACAAGUGCUAGUUGAAUAGGCUGGCACCUUGACGGUACCUAACCAGAAAGCCACGGCUAACUACGUGCCAGCAGCCGCCGUAA
rnacentral:rRNA from 1 species